GACGAACGCUGGCGGCGCGCUUAACACAUGCAAGUCGAACGGAAAGGCCUGCUUUCCCUUGUGGAUUGCGGGUAGUCGAGUGGCGAACGGGUGAGUAACACGUGAGUGAUCUGCCCCCAACUUGGGUAUAAGCUUGGGAAACUGGGUCUAAUUCCCGAUAGGACUGCAGGGUGGUGCCUGUGGUGGAAAACGAUUUUCUAGUGGUUGGGGAUGAGCUCGCGGCCUAUCAGCUUGUUGGUGGGGUAAUGGCCUACCAAGGCGGCGACGGGUAGCCGGCCUGGGAGGGUGGACGGCCACAUUGGGACUGAGAUACGGCCCAGACUCCUACGGGAGGCAGCAGUGGGGAAUAUUGCACAAUGGGCGGAAGCCUGAUGCAGCGACGCCGCGUGGGGGAUGACGGCCUUCGGGUUGUAAACUCCUUUCGACCGCGAGGAAGCCACCUGGUUGGAAGGGUGGUGACGGUAGUGGGAGAAGAAGCACCGGCUAACUACGUG
rnacentral:rRNA from 1 species